ACUUUGUCCCCUUUCAUCAUUUUGCAGUUUGUUCGACUAAGAAUUCCAAGGGGACCUCUCGAUUCUGUACUUACAGAGAUACUGGCUCAGUGCUAACACAAGUGAUCACAGAAAAAUUGCAGCUGCCUUCUCCCCAAGAUAGUUUUCAGUUCCAGACAAAACCAUCCAGAACUCAGGAGGCCUUCUCAAGUGAAUGCUGCAG
rnacentral:lncRNA from 1 species